UACGGGGGGAGCAAGCGUUGUUCGGAUUUACUGGGCGUAAAGGGCGCGUAGGCGGUCAGCACAAGUCAGUUGUGAAAUCUCCGAGCUUAACUCGGAAAGGUCAACUGAUACUGUGCGACUAGAGUGCAGAAGGGGCAACUGGAAUUCUUGGUGUAGCGGUGAAAUGCGUAGAUAUCAGGAGGAACACCGGUGGCGAAGGCGGCUUUCUGGACAGAAACUGACGCUGAUGCGCGAAAGCUAGGGGAGCAAACAGG
rnacentral:rRNA from 1 species